GACAAGAUGGCCGAGUGGUUAUGGCGUGUGACUCAAGCGAAAGCUUGCCUUGUUACAACAGGUGUAUUCUCAUGGGCUUUGCCCGCGUGGGUUCGAAUCCCACUCUUGUCA
rnacentral:tRNA from 1 species